rnacentral:rRNA from 1 species
AGCAGUCGCCGCGGGAAAACGUAGGUGGCAAGCGUUGUCCGGAUUUAUUGGGCGUAAAGCGAGCGCAGGCGGUCAAUUAAGUCUGAUGUGAAAGCCCCCGGCUCAACCGGGGAGGGUCAUUGGAAACUGGUUGACUUGAGUGCAGAAGAGGAGAGUGGAAUUCCAUGUGUAGCGGUGAAAUGCGUAGAGAUGUGGAGGAACACCAGUGGCGAAGGCGACUCUCUGGUCUGUAACUGACGCUGAGGAGCGAAAGCGUGGGGAGCGAACAGGAUUAGAUACCCCGGUAGUCCCUGUCUCUUAUAC